UUUGCCCACAGGAUUUCAAUAUCCAAAACCAGGCUUAUAUCCAUGUACUACAUUUAUCAAAAACUCAUUGUGCUGAUCUGUGUUGUAGGGGAGAUUGGUGUAUGCACAGCUUACUUAGUGUUGGAGCCUCCAAGGAUGUUUAAGAACAUUGAACAGCAAAAAUGUAAAGAUUAUCUUUGAAUGCAAUGAAGGUUCUGUAGAGUUUCUGUGCUCCAUUUUUGGGUUUGAUGUUCUCCUGGCUCUGCUGUGUUUUCUUACAAUCUUUGUGGCUCACCAGCUGCCAGAUAACUAUUAUGACGGGAAAUGUAUCACUUUUGGAAUGCUCGUCUUUUUCAUUGUCUGGAUUCUUUUGUCCCUGCUUACCUGAGCAUUAAAGGCAAAUUCAAAGUGGCUGUGGAAAUAUUUGCCAUUUUGGCAUCCAGCUAUGGCUUGUUAGGCUGUGUAUUUCUUCCCAAGUGCUUCAUUAUCUUGCUGAGGCCAAAGAGGAAUACUGAUGAAACUGUUGGUGGAAGAGUCCCCACUGUUGACAGGACCAUCCAGCUGACCUCAGCUUCUGUGAGCAGUGAGCUUAACAGCACCACGGUGUCCACGGUUCUGGAUGAGUAG
rnacentral:lncRNA from 1 species